rnacentral:rRNA from 1 species
UGGGGAAUAUUGGACAAUGGGGGCAACCCUGAUCCAGCGAUGCCGCGUGGGUGAAGAAGGCCUUCGGGUUGUAAAGCCCUUUAGGUUGGGAAGAAGGGUGUUGUAGGAAAUGACAACAUUUUGACGGUACCGACAGAAUAAGCACCGGCAAACUCUGUGCCAGCAGCCGCGGUAAUACAGAGGGUGCGAGCGUUAAUCGGAUUAACUGGGCGUAAAGGGCGCGUAGGCGGUAAGAGGAGUGUGAUGUGAAAGCCCCGGGCUUAACCUGGGAAGUGCAUCGCAAACGCUCUAACUAGAGUACAUGAGAGGGUGCUGGAAUUUCCGGUGUAGCGGUGAAAUGCGUAGAUAUCGGAAGGAACGUCGAUGGCGAAGGCAGGCACCUGGCAUGAUACUGACGCUGAAGCGCGAAAGCGUGGGUAGCGAACAGG